rnacentral:rRNA from 1 species
UGGGGAAUAUUGCACAAUGGGCGAAAGCCUGAUGCAGCAACGCCGCGUGAGUGAUGAAGGUCUUCGGAUUGUAAAGCUCUGUCUUUUGGGACGAUAAUGACGGUACCAAAGGAGGAAGCCACGGCUAACUACGUGCCAGCAGCCGCGGUAAUACGUAGGUGGCGAGCGUUGUCCGGAUUUACUGGGCGUAAAGGGUGCGUAGGCGGAUGUUUAAGUGAGAUGUGAAAUACCCGGGCUUAACUUGGGUGCUGCAUUUCAAACUGGAUAUCUAGAGUGCAGGAGAGGAGAAUGGAAUUCCUAAUGUAGCGGUGAAAUGCGUAGAGAUUAGGAAGAACACCAGUGGCGAAGGCGAUUCUCUGGACUGUAACUGACGCUGAGGCACGAAAAGCGUGGGUAGCAAACAGGAUUAGAUACCCUGGUAGUCCACGCCGUAAAACGAUGAGUACUAGGUGUAGGAGGUAUCGACCCCUUCUGUGCCGCAGUAAAACACAUUAAGUACUCCGCCUGGGAAGUACGAUCGCAAGAUU